UUCAGAGGAUACCACUGGAUUUUCUGCAAGAUGAAAACUUUAAGGAGGCCGUAGCAAACUACAUUAAACCUCUAUUGACAAAGGGUGUUCCUUCAUUAUUUUCUGAUCUGUCUUCUCUGUAUGACCACCCUCGCAAGCCUGAUAUAUUGGAGCAGUUAGUUGUUGAGAUGGAACAUUCGAUUAGGACUACCGGAAGUUACCCUGGAAGUGAUGUGAAAGAGCCUCCUUCCACACUAUUGUGGACAUUGUUUUUCUUGGCUCAGCAUUAUGACAAGCGUGGUCAAUAUGAUGUUGCAAUCUAUAAAAUUGACGAAGCCAUUGCUCAUACGCCGACAGUUAUUGAUCUGUACUCCGUUAAG